UGAUAAAAAUUUCUUUUAUUUCUAUUGUUAAAAACUAGUGCGGCUAAUUGAAUAAUCAAAUAGUUACGCAUAACGUGCCAUGUGUACCUCAUGUUGAUGUAUAUGAACCAAUUUUUAAUGGUAGAAACGGAUGGAAUUUAUAGAA
rfam:Gossypium hirsutum cultivar TM-1 chromosome 19, whole genome shotgun sequence